rnacentral:rRNA from 1 species
UACGGAGGAUGCAAGCGUUAUCCGGAAUGAUUGGGCGUAAAGCGUCCGCAGGUGGCUGUGUAAGUCUGCUGUUAAAGAGCAAAGCUUAACUUUGUAAAAGCAGUGGAAACUACACAGCUAGAGUGCGUUCGGGGCAGAGGGAAUUCCUGGUGUAGCGGUGAAAUGCGUAGAGAUCAGGAAGAACACCGGUGGCGAAGGCGCUCUGCUAGGCCGCAACUGACACUGAGGGACGAAAGCUAGGGGAGCGAAUGGG